rnacentral:rRNA from 1 species
UACGUAGGGAGCGAGCGUUGUCCGGAAUCAUUGGGCGUAAAGAGCGCGUAGGUGGAUCAAUUAGUCUGCUGUGAAAGUCAAAGGCUCAACCUUUGAAAGCCGGUGGAUACUGUUGAUCUAGAGUACGAAAGAGGCGAGUGGAAUUCCUGGUGUAGCGGUGGAAUGCGCAGACAUCAGGAGGAACACCAAUAGCGAAGGCAGCUCGCUGGGACGUUACUGACGCUGAGGCGCGAAAGCGUGGGGAGCAAACAGG